GUAGGUGGCAAGCGUUGUCCGGAAUUAUUGGGCGUAAAUCGCGCGCAGGCGGUUUUUAAGUCUGAUGUGAAAGCCCACGGCUCAACCGUGGAGGGUCAUUGGAAACUGGAGAACUUGAGUACAGAAGAGGAAAGCGGAAUUCCACGUGUAGCGGUGAAAUGCGUAGAGAUGAGGAGGAACACCAGUGGCGAAGGCGGCUUUCUGGUCUGUAACUGACGCUGAGGCGCGAAAGCGUGGGGAGCAAACAGGGAUUAGAUACCCUGGUAGUCCACGCCGUAAACGAUGAGUGCUAAGUGUUAGGGGGUUUCCCGCCCCUUAGUGCUGCAGCUAACGCAUUAAGCACUCCGCCUGGGGAGUACGGCCGCAAGGCUG
rnacentral:rRNA from 1 species